CCCAAUUUCGUGGAUCGAUGCUCAUGAUAUUAAUCAGACUCGAUUAUUAACAGACCGGCGUUAAUUAACAAACAAAAAAAUCAUAUUACCGAGAUUAUGACACAAUUACGUAUUAAAUACCAAAAACAACAUUUUAAAAGUUUUCGGUGAUCGCAACUUUCUCCUCAGUCUUUUACGAAUGCUUUAUUACUAUCAUUAAAUGGAAACAUCCAAAUAGUUCAUUUAUACGAGAUAUUGAAAAAUGCAGACGUGUAUAUAUCGUAGUUUUAAAUCAAGGUUGAAAUCAGGCACGAAAUGAUUUACACAUCUUUUCGUGAAGCAUAGGACAUCCUUAAACCCAAUUCAGUAAACUCUUUUACCCUGAUAGUCUUACCUUCUGCUUGUAGAUCUGGCAAAAUACAUAGGAGGUCUAUCAUAUGAACUUUCUGAGCAGCUAAUCAUCGACCAGGCCCCAAAUUCUCCGUACGAGCGAACUAAGCAUUCAGAGCAGCAUAUCCGAAGAACGUAAACGAACGAAAAAAUAAUACUGGCUUCGCUUUGUUUUCGAUGUUUGAUCUACAGCCUGGCAGGUUGUCUUUUCUGAACGAGGGAACAUUUGUAGACCAGUUCAAAUCAAAAUGUCCGAAUCGGGAACAGGUGGUAAAGAAAUAUCUGCAGCAGAAACUUUGAAUAUGGUGACAUAUUGUGGGUGUGUCUCAUGUUUCAAACUACGAGAUCAGAAUUUUCUUUUGUUGUGGUUAUCAUUGUUUAUACCAAACAUUACUAAAACAGCGCUUGUAGCUGCGCAACGCUGCAAUAUUUUUGAGGCGGCUUCAAGCAAUAUUUACUGUCACACACUUGAAGCGACGUUCAAGGCCCCCGUGUUAAGAAAGCUGUCAUUUGAUUGGUAUAAAAAAACAUACACUCCCUUCAAUUUUAUUUAGGCUGUCACAGUUCGCUCAGGGUACAUCUGACGGGACUCCUAUGAAGGGUGUGCCAUCAGACAAAGAAAAGGUAUCUGAUUUCAGUGUGAUUGUCCUAUGACCGUAUGGAAAACCCAAAUGAAUCAUAAAUAUCACUGUAUUGGUUUACAUAAAAAUAAGACUGUAUUUCAAUUCGUAUAUGUUUACAAAGUUUAAUCUUGAUGUUACACAACAGGCUGCUUGAAUUACUUUACGUUAUGCAAGAAUGAUUAUUUUGUAGUUGUAAGUGUAACAUCUAAAACAUAUAUUACAUUGAUUGACAUAAAUAGCUUUUUAAGGUGCGAGAAUGCAUUUACGUGUGUUUGCACAUUCGAAUAUAAUGGGCAUUUGUGGCCGUUUAUUAUACAUAUACUGAUAUAUACCUGCUUUGGGAAAAGGACAAUAUAUGUUCUUCUGUUAUCGUUAUGUCUAUAGUAAUAUUGAUGUGUCUUGUCGUAUUCAAAUGAAACAAAUAAGACACUGCUAAGACAUGAAAAGGAGUUCUUUUCGGGAUACGACACGCUUCUAAUUGGUUCCAGUGUGAAACUUUAUAUGUGAAAUUACGUUUGUGUCGCUUUGUCAACUACACAUCAACUUCAAGAAAACUGAUGACUUGAACCUCGUGGCACUUGAAAACGGAACAAUAUACAUAAGUGAUUGAGAGAACAAGACUUAAACUCCGUGUUGAUAGAGUACAUGCGCGGUCGAUGACAUAAGUCCUGCAGUUCUACAUACAAGUUGUGUUGACCGUUGUGUCAUGGUUCAGAACUACCCGGUUACAUCCAGAAGGGCGGGGCUGGAGAGUGUUAGGGUGAUGGACACUGGUCUCAACCUACACUGCGAAGUUACAAAAACGCAGUCCCUGGAAACUUCAGACAAGAAAUGUGCAGAUUCGCCAAAGCGCAGCCACGUGCAAACCAUGGGACCAAUACAUAAGCCUCUUCUGCACGUGCAACACGAUCACCAACAGUAUAAAAGUGCACCUGUAUUUCGCAGACUGUAGACCGCCAUCAAAUGCCACUACAACGGCCGUUUGGAAGCAGGGGAAUCCAGAUCAGCCGUUGCUAGGGCGAUUAGUGUGUCCCCAUGCACUGUCACAAGACUGUGGGACCGAUAUCAACAACACGGGACAACACGUGACCGACCCAGAUCAGGUGACAACCUCCCUCCCAGGAACGUUGCAUAUACGGGUACGCCACCUACGGCAACUGACGACCACCGCACACUUCACAUCAACAGCAAUACCAGGUCUGCAUAAGCGAGGCAGGCAUUUUACCAGACGACAUGUUCAUGGUAUCCUUUUGACACAGCAACACCGCCAACGACGAGAUCAGUGGUGUCAGGAUAUCUGAUCUGUCAUUUCAGCAACGUUCAUUUGAGUUAACUUUUGACUGAGCAAAAUGUUGACAUUAUCUGAUUGUACUAAUCAAUAUUUGUACCAAGGAAUCUUCUCAGUGUCAUCAAAAUGUGUGUCUUUAUCUUUUAUUCUGUGCGUAUAUUUUGGAAAUCUUGCUUAUAUUAAAUAUGUAUUUAUCCAUCUUAGAUUUGAACUCAUCUUUGAAAUAUUAAACAAAUUAUUCCAAUAGACUUGAUAUUUGAUUACAACGUUCCGCCCCAAAAUACAUGUAACUUGGGGCUGAAGUGUAAUAAAAGAAUCAGUUAACUGUUUUCUCCACUUGAAAAAUGUAGAUUUACAUUAAAUAUAUUAAUAUAUGUUUCAACGUUUUCGUUCAUGUUUUAUCAGAUCGUAUGAGUAUCCAUG
rnacentral:lncRNA from 1 species